UACGAAGGGGACUAGCGUCGUUCGGAAUCACUGGGCGUAAAGCGCACGUAGGCGGAUAUGUCAGUCAGGGGUGAAAUCCCGGGGCUCAACCUCGGAACUGCCUUUGAUACAGCAUGUCUUGAGUCCGAUAGAGGUGGGUGGAAUUCCUAGUGUAGAGGUGAAAUUCGUAGAUAUUAGGAAGAACACCGGUGGCGAAGGCGGCCCACUGGAUCGGUACUGACGCUGAGGUGCGAAAGCGUGGGGAGCAAACAGG
rnacentral:rRNA from 1 species